rnacentral:rRNA from 1 species
UACGUAGGCAGCAAGCGUUGUUCGGAGUUACUGGGCGUAAAGGGUGUGUGGCGGUUCCUUAAGUUUGCUGUGAAAUCUCCCGGCUUAACCGGGAGGGUGCGGUGAAUACUGAGGGACUAGAGUACGGGAGAGGAAAGUGGAAUUCCUGGUGUAGCGGUGAAAUGCGUAGAUAUCAGGAGGAACACCGGUGGUGUAGACGGCUUUCUGGACCGUAACUGACGCUGAGACACGAAAGCGUGGGUAGCAAACAGG